rnacentral:rRNA from 1 species
UACGAAGGGGGCUAGCGUUGCUCGGAAUCACUGGGCGUAAAGGGCGCGUAGGCGGGCUAUCAAGUCCGGGGUGAAAUCCUCCAGCUCAACUGGAGAACUGCCUCGGAUACUGAUGGUCUCGAGGAGGAUAGGGGCACACGGAACUGUGGGUGGAGCGGUGAAAUGCGUUGAUAUCCAUAGGAACUCCGGUGGCGAAAGCGGUGUGCUGGAUCCUUUCUGACGCUGAGGCGCGAAAGCCAGGGGAGCAAACGGG